UCUAAGAAUGGAAUUGUGAUGGGCUUCACCCCAAGUAAAUGAAUCUGAUCACAAACAGUUCCCUUUGAAAUGUUGAUCAGUCCUUUGAAUUUAACUACUUGAAUGCCAAAACAAGACUACUCUCCAAAGGCUUUUUGGUAUUUUUAAAAGGAUUUCACUUAGAGUUUCUAUUUAUAGGAUACUGGGCAAGUUCUACAACUUCAAUUGAGUUCUUAUUUUAUGCUAUAAUUUUAUCUCAGUUAUUUUGCAAUUACAAGUUUUUAUUAAAAUGUUUUCCACUCA